UCCUGUUUUUUUUUUUUUUUUUAAAAUUUAAAUUUUACGUUUCAUCACAUGUAUUCUUCUUAAUUAUUUUUUUAUUUUUUUAAUUAUCUUUUUAUCUAUCAUAUAUCACAUAAAAAAAAUGUUACAGCAUAAUCUCAACUCUAAAGUUUCUAGUACUUUCUUAUUUUUCUCAUUUAUGUUUUAUCUUUUGGUCUUUAUGUUUCUAUCACCUUAAUCUUUGUCCCACCUGUAGAAUGCGAAUCAAUACUAGUGACAAAAAAUGCUUGUGUUUAGUUACUUCAUUUAUUUUGGGUAGUUAGAAUACAAUGAAUGGAGGUGCACAAGCAUAAAUGCAUAUGAUGAAGUCACGAAAGUUUUUAUGUUUUUCUUUCACCUCUUCCAAGUCUUUUUGUUAAAAGCCAGUGCAAUGUGGAUGCAAGGAAUGGUUUGGACUUUGGAGAAGUGGACUGGUAAGAGUUUGUGGCUUCUGUGUGUUUACUGUUUAGCAUUUGCCUAAAGAAAUGUGCAAGUCAACAAUGUCGAUUCCCGGACUCCCUGGCAUUAACAUAUUGGGAUCUAAGUUCUCCUUUUCGUUUUCGGUUCCUACCCCAUUAAUUGGCCCUGCUGUUUCAGCAGAAAGGGGCAGGCAAUAAAAUGUGUAUGUCUGCCUUUAUUUCUGGUCUUUGAAUAAGUAAAACCCCAAGAAACAAAAGUGACACUUCUCAUUUAAUGCAAAAAAGUGAGGUCUGCGGAAAACAUGCAUCGAUCCCUAUUCCCCCCCCCC
rnacentral:lncRNA from 1 species